rnacentral:rRNA from 1 species
GUAGGGAAUAUUGCGCAAUGGGCGAAAGCCUGACGCAGCGACGCCGCGUGAGUGAUGAAGGCCUUAGGGUCGUAAAGCUCUGUUGAAUGGGAAGAAAAAAAUGACGGUACCAUUCGAGAAAGGACCGGCUAACUUCGUGCCAGCAGCCGCGGUAAGACGAGGGGUCCUAGCGUUGUUCGGAAUCAUUGGGCGUAAAGCGUAUGUAGGUGGCCUUAUAAGUCAGGUGUGAAAGCCCCGGGCUCAACCCGGGAAGUGCAUUUGAUACUGUUUGGCUUGAGUACCGAAGAGGAUAGUGGAAUUCCAGGUGUAGUGGUGAAAUACGUAGAUAUCUGGAGGAACACCGGUGGCGAAGGCGGCUAUCUGGUCGAGUACUGACACUGAGAUACGAAAGCGUGGGGAUCAAACAGGAUUAGAUACCCGGGUAGUCC